GGGAUGAACGCUGGCGGCGUGCCUAAUACAUGCAAGUCGAGCGAACGGACGAGAAGCUUGCUUCUCUGAUGUUAGCGGCGGACGGGUGAGUAACACGUGGAUAACCUACCUAUAAGACUGGGAUAACUUCGGGAAACCGGAGCUAAUACCGGAUAAUAUUUUGAACCGCAUGGUUCAAAAGUGAAAGACGGUCUUGCUGUCACUUAUAGAUGGAUCCGCGCUGCAUUAGCUAGUUGGUAAGGUAACGGCUUACCAAGGCAACGAUGCAUAGCCGACCUGAGAGGGUGAUCGGCCACACUGGAACUGAGACACGGUCCAGACUCCUACGGGAGGCAGCAGUAGGGAAUCUUCCGCAAUGGGCGAAAGCCUGACGGAGCAACGCCGCGUGAGUGAUGAAGGUCUUCGGAUCGUAAAACUCUGUUAUUAGGGAAGAACAUAUGUGUAAGUAACUGUGCACAUCUUGACGGUACCUAAUCAGAAAGCCACGGCUAACUACGUGCCAGCAGCCGCGGUAAUACGUAGGUGGCAAGCGUUAUCCGGAAUUAUUGGGCGUAAAGCGCGCGUAGGCGGUUUUUUAAGUCUGAUGUGAAAGCCCACGGCUCAACUGUGGAGGGUCAUUGGAAACUGGAAAACUUGAGUGCAGAAGAGGAAAGUGGAAUUCCAUGUGUAGCGGUGAAAUGCGCAGAGAUAUGGAGGAACACCAGUGGCGAAGGCGACUUUCUGGUCUGUAACUGACGCUGAUGUGCGAAAGCGUGGGGAUCAAACAGGAUUAGAUACCCUGGUAGUCCACGCCGUAAACGAUGAGUGCUAAGUGUUAGGGGGUUUCCGCCCCUUAGUGCUGCAGCUAACGCAUUAAGCACUCCGCCUGGGGAGUACGACCGCAAGGUUGAAACUCAAAGGAAUUGACGGGGACCCGCACAAGCGGUGGAGCAUGUGGUUUAAUUCGAAGCAACGCGAAGAACCUUACCAAAUCUUGACAUCCUUUGACAACUCUAGAGAUAGAGCCUUCCCCUUCGGGGGACAAAGUGACAGGUGGUGCAUGGUUGUCGUCAGCUCGUGUCGUGAGAUGUUGGGUUAAGUCCCGCAACGAGCGCAACCCUUAAGCUUAGUUGCCAUCAUUAAGUUGGGCACUCUAAGUUGACUGCCGGUGACAAACCGGAGGAAGGUGGGGAUGACGUCAAAUCAUCAUGCCCCUUAUGAUUUGGGCUACACACGUGCUACAAUGGACAAUACAAAGGGCAGCGAAACCGCGAGGUCAAGCAAAUCCCAUAAAGUUGUUCUCAGUUCGGAUUGUAGUCUGCAACUCGACUACAUGAAGCUGGAAUCGCUAGUAAUCGUAGAUCAGCAUGCUACGGUGAAUACGUUCCCGGGUCU
rnacentral:rRNA from 1 species